GCCUUCGUGGUGUAGUGGUCAGCACGCUCGAUGCGUAACCGAGAGGUCCGUGGUUCAAUUCCCGGCGAAGGCG
rnacentral:tRNA from 1 species